GGGAGAGUCCCAGAGACAGAGACAUAAAGCCACAGUGGGGAGAGACGGAAAUGAGGUAGGCAAGACAGAAAGAAUGAGAGGGAGGAAGAGGGAAGGGACAGAAGGCAGGAGAGCCUAGAUUCUUCCUCCUAGUCUAAAAGGACCCUCACCUUCGGGGCUGGGCCUGUGGCCAAGUGGUUAAGGUUCCACACUUUCUGCUUGGGAGGCCUGGGUUCACAGGUUCAGAUCCCAGAUGCGGCCCUACUCCACUCAUCAGCCAUGCUGUGGAGGCAUCCCACAUACAAAGUAGAGGAAGAUGGGCACAGAUGUUAGUUCAGGGCUAAUAUUCCUCAAAUGAAAAGAUAAAAAAAAUAAAAGGACCCUAACCUUCCUGCAGGGAGGGUCUCUCCUCCACGAGGUUGGUGGGGGGUGUCUGAAGAAGACUCUCUCAGCCUCGAGUUCUCUGGCAGACAGUGAAAUUGGUGGUUCUCAAAGUGUGUUCCCUGGACCAGCAGCUCAGCAUGACUUGGGAGCUUGUCAGAAGUGCAAAUUCUCCUGCCUCACCCCAGACCUCCUGAAUCAAAGACUGCGGGGUAGGGCCCAGCAUCUGUGUUUUAACAAGCCCUCCAGGUGUUUCUGCUGCACGCUCGAGUUUGAGAACCACACCCUGAAGUUGCAGUGCUUGGCCUCCAGUGCUGUGAACUGCUCUCAGUCCCCGCCACGGGGCUGCUGUCUUCCAAGAGGAGUGACGUGGGUGGUCUUGAGAGCUGGCACCAUCUUCAGAGUCACUCAAAUGAUACCUCUGUAGCCUUCAAUUACCUGUAGGAAUUGGGGGAACAGGAGGAAGUGUCAAGGAACAGCCCAGAGGAAGAAAAAAGACAACCUGGAGAAAAGGAUGCUUAGAAGGGCAAGGCUGCAGCUGGUGCGUGCAGCUCUUAAGUAGCAGGCUCUCAGCUCCUGCCAUGCAGGACGAUGAUGGAAAGGGGGCACUAAUGGGAAAGCAGUCUGACCCCAGCUUCAGGUGAAUUUGAUGGAGGGUCAAUUUGGGGAUAAUUGUGGUGCGCUGUCUGGAUUCUGCUGGGAGAGGGCAGAUGGGGACAGGAGCAGGGAUGGGUAGAGGGUAGAAGGGAGAGGAGUGGGGGGCAGGGAGGGAGAGAGAUGCUGGGGAACAGGGGGCCCAGGCAGAGGCCCCUGCUCCAGGCCUGGAGUUUCCAGAAGACCAUCAUCAUUGUCCAGCCAUCCACAUUGUUCUUCUGGCUUCUGAGGCUGGAGACCAGGGGUGAGGAGCUUGGUGUGGCCCUCAAGGAGAGGCCUGUUCUCAUUUCAGCGGGUGUGGGUAUUAAGUUUGGUCCAUGUGCUGGCAGUGGGCAGGAUGGUCAGUGACCUCAAACUCAAAGUCUUCAGGCUCCGGGCAGAUAACAUAAGAGAGAAGCACAGCCUGGGAGGAAAUGCCAGGGCAGACACUGUCUCCUGGGGAUUGUGUGAACUGGAAAUACAGGCCCUGUCUAGACCGUUCAGCAGCCACCAGACUCCAGCCUGUUAGCACCCAGAAACGUCACUCCCCGCCACCAGGCUGAUCAAAUCCAGAUGGAGGUAUACAGCAGCAGGUCCUGCAAGAGAAGUUACAAGAAGCUCACAUACUGCCUGCGUGCCAGGGGCAGCUCUGUCUGGGCUGGCCGUGGGGAACGGGGCUUCGAAGGGUCCCAGACUCCAUUCUGCAGCGAUGCGGGGCAGCAAAGCAUUUUACAGUGAGGACCACCAUUGUCUGAUCCCUCUAAGAAUGGGUCUUGAAUUUCUGAUGCCAGUUUCUCCCUCAAGGGCCAGGGUAAUGCUGGGCAUCCUGCGUGCAUUCUUUCCAUAAGCCCCCUGCCUUCAGGAAUAUAAAAUGUUUAUCUUUUCUGCUUGACACAGCACAGCUGAGAACCAAAAAGUGAAAUAACCUGUGCUGAGUCAUCAGCCGGGAGGCGGGGGAUUGGAGGCAGGAAAAAUAAAUGUAGCAUCUCCCCCUGGGGGCUCCCGUCAAAGACUGUCGAAGGGAGGGUCCGACAGGUAGGGAGGAGAGGGGGGAGCUUGAGGAGCAGGACUCCCCGUGGUCUGUACUGGUCCAGGAACCCCUUUGGCUGUGGCCUUGAGCAGCAGCUGCAGCUCCUCUCACCUUUCCCUCCUCCAGAUGUCCUCAAACAUCCUAAUAUUUAUUUCUACUUGGGAACAGCAGCAAAUCAACAAAGGCAUGUCAAGGACGCCCUCACCUUCCUCUAUGAGGCUCCGAGCCCUAUUUCUGAUUUUCUAAUUGGAGCGAGUGAAUUCAACUCUGGGGCUGCUUUGAACUCUCGUCUCUGCCAAUUAACCCUCCCGGGGAAGGCUGAAGCGCCUCUUAGAAGUGGCAGGGUGUGGGGAGACGACUGAGAACAAGAUGCUGUCCUUGUCCUUCAGGAAUUUACAAUCUCAAUGAGGAGACAAAACAUAUACACAUGAAAAGUUAAAAAAAAAUGCUGAAGACUAAACUAACAGAUCAAGACACUAAUCAAAGUGAAGUCAUGGUAUGUAAAUCACUCUGACCAUGAGAGAAAAUUCAUAGGUGAGUGAUAUCCUUUGGGCUGGGGUAACUGGGAAGGGCUUUACAGAUUUAUCAGAAAGGAGAGGGAAUAUGAGUUGCAACUUUUGAAAAAUUAAUACAUGGAUAUAUUUUUUUAAAAAAUUAAAACUACAUAAGAAUUAAUGAUGAAAUUUAAGUUUUCCACUCAUGACUCCAGGGUUCUUUGUCCAGAAGCAACCACUGUUAUCAUUU
rnacentral:lncRNA from 1 species